AGAGUUUGAUCAGUGGCUACAGGACGAACGCUGGCGGCGUGCUUAACACAUGCAAGUCGAACGGAAAGGCCCUGCUUUUGUGGGGUGCUCGAGUGGCGAACGGGUGAGUAACACGUGAGUAACCUGCCCUUGACUUUGGGAUAACUUCAGGAAACUGGGGCUAAUACCGGAUAGGAGCUCCUGCUGCAUGGUGGGGGUUGGAAAGUUUCGGCGGUUGGGGAUGGACUCGCGGCUUAUCAGCUUGUUGGUGGGGUAGUGGCUUACCAAGGCUUUGACGGGUAGCCGGCCUGAGAGGGUGACCGGCCACAUUGGGACUGAGAUACGGCCCAGACUCCUACGGGAGGCAGCAGUGGGGAAUAUUGCACAAUGGGCGGAAGCCUGAUGCAGCAACGCCGCGUGCGGGAUGACGGCCUUCGGGUUGUAAACCGCUUUCGCCUGUGACGAAGCGUGAGUGACGGUAAUGGGUAAAGAAGCACCGGCUAACUACGUG
rnacentral:rRNA from 1 species